rnacentral:misc_RNA from 1 species
AUCGCGGAUCAGCAUGCCGCGGUGAAUACGUUUCCGGGCCUUGUACACACCGCCCGUCACACCAUGGGAGUUUGUAACGCCCAAAGUCGGUGGCCUAACCUUUAUGGAGGGAGCCGCCUAAGGCGGGACAGAUGACUGGGGUCUGUAACAAGGUAGCCGUAGGAGAACCUGCGGCUGGAUCACCUCCUUUCUAAGGAAUAAAACGGAACCUACACAUCGAAGAAACUUUGUUUAGUUUUGAGGGGUUUACCCUCAGAGCUUGUACUUUGAAAACUAAAUACUAUCUAAUUUCUUUAUUAACAAAACAAUAAACCGAGAACACCGCGUUAUUUGAGUUUUAAUUAACGAAUUAUAAUCGCUAACUCAAUUAAUCAGACAAUCUUUGAUUGUUUAGGUUAAGUUAUGAAGGGCGCAUGGUGAAUGCCUUGGUACUAGGAGCCGAUGAAGGACGGGACUAACACCGAUAUGCUUCGGGGAGCGGUAAGUACGCUUUGAUCCGGAAAUUUCC